GCAGUUAGGACUUCAGCCCGCGUCCCGCCUCGCGCGGUAAAUUGACAUAGUUCCGUUUUCCCCCGAGACUUUACAAACUAUUUGAAAGUGAGGAGCCCGCUGCUGCCCGGCAGUGAAACAGCAGACUCAGCCGUGGAUGUGAAGUUCGGCAGGGAGGAGCCUGAACGGGUUUUCAGUCUGCUUUCAUCAUCGAGCCCCGCGGAGGACCGAUUGCAGCCUCUCCUCUCCCUCGACUUUUCGGCUCUACUUUUGUCCUAUUGGGCUCAACAGGGAACAAUCAUGGAGGAAAUGGACUUUGAGCGUCGCCGGGAGCUGAGGAGGCAGAAGCGUGAGGAGAUGCGCCUGGAAGCAGAACGGAUGGCCAAGAACGACGAUGAUGAGGAGGAAGCUGCCCGGGAGAGAAGGCGCAGGGCACGCCAGGAGAGGCUGAGAAGCAGGGAAAGUGAAGACCCCUCCAGCCAGUCAGAUAGUCUGGUCAUGACCAACAGCCACAGUGUGACAGAAAACGUGUCAGUUAGCGGCUCCUAUGGAGACGGCGGGGAUGACGAGGAGCAAGCCCUUCUGGACCGCAUGGCCAAGCGCGAGGAGAGGCGGCAGCGACGCAUGAAGGAGGCGCUGGAGAGGCAGAAGCAGCUGGACCCGGCCGCCUCGGAGGCCAGCGAAGGUGUGGCCCUGGAGAAAAACAACAUGGAGGAGGAGAGGCCUUCCUCCUGGCGCAAGGGGCGUUACCGCGACAGCAUGGACGAAGACGAGAAGACGUUCAGCUCCAGACAGGAGAAGGAGCAGGACUGGCCGACAGGGGACACAAAGGCAGCUACCGAGGAAGAGGAGGAAGAAGAGGAGCAAAAAACGACUGAGGUGGAAGUCAUACCGAGAAGGUCAAUCUUCAGAGAACAGAAAUCAGCUGAAGAAGGCGAAACGCAAAGCAAGGACCUCUCUGAAGAAGACACUCACUCUGUAGUCAGGGAGAGCUUGAAUCAGGCCGAGUCAGCAAAGUCAGAGGAGGAGGAGGAUGCAGUAGCAUCAGGGGAGGCUGAAGAGGUGAGCGAGGAAGACGUGGCCUGGGAGGACCCCAGGAAACACAAUGGCGGGCCGUGCGAGGAAGCGGCUCUUAAACAGCACCGGAAACCCGAGAGGACCCUCAGCCGCGGCAGCGUGCGCUCCCCCGAGGCCGUCGCCAGCGACGAGCAGGACGAGAACGCCCGCCUGGAAGCCGAGCGCAAACUGGAGGAGCUGAAGCGCCGGCGCGACGACGCCGAAAGCGAGGAGUUUGAGAGGAUGAGGCAGAAGCAGCAGGAGGCCGAAGCCGAGCUGGAGGAGCUGAAGAGGAAGAGGGAGGAGAGGAGGAAGAUUCUGGAGGAGGAGGAACGGCAGAGGAAGCAGGAGGAGGAGGAGCGAAAAGCCAGAGAGGAGGAGGAGAAGAGGAAGAUGAAGGAGGAAAUCGAAAGAAGGCGGGCGGAGGCCGCUGAGAAGAGGCAGAAGGUGGAUGACACGAUGGACGGCGAGGGGAAACCCUUCAAAUGCGUCAGUCCUCGAGGAUCCUCUUUGAAGAUUGGAGAACGGGCGGAGUUUCUGAACAAGUCGGCUCAGAAAAGUGCUGUGAAGGCGGCUCAUUCUCCGGUGGUGUCCAAGAUAGAUAACAGGCUGGAGCAGUACACCUCAGCUGCUCAGAGAGAGAAUAAGGAAUCUCGGUCUCCUCGCGCCGGAGCGGUGGAUCUCCCCGUGGUCACCGACAGCAUACGAAACAUUAAGAGCAUGUGGGAAAAAGGCAGCGUGUUCAACGCCCCCGGCAACGGCGGAAGUGCAUUCAAGGAAGCAGCGGUGAUAAAGACGGGCGUGGCAGGCCGCAUCAACGACUGGCUGAAUAAAACCCCAGAUGGGGGCAGAACACCAGGAGGAAAGCCAACGGAUCUGAAGCCUGUCGACGUCACCAACAAGAGGAGUUUAUGGGAAAACAAAGGCGGUGCUUCAACUAAGAACUCUCAUAGCUAGUUGACCUAACUUUUCAAUCUGGAAUGAGGCCUGGAGAGGUGGCAGGCAGAGGAGAAACCAAAUCAGUUGCCAACGGUAUGGGCCACUAAUGUCUUGAAGGAGCCACUAAAGCUGGGGACCACGACAAUCCAAAAGUCUUCUUGUGACUUUUUCCUCAAGAACCAAAUGAUGAUCCCUAACACCACAGGAUGACGGGACGCCGUCCUCGCACUGUACUGAAACAGCAUACAUUACCAGGGUUUGCCAAGUAUAGUGCCUUUGCACAAAAUAAUUAUUAUUAUUAUUAUUAUUAAUAUUAUUGUUUUAUUUGCCUCCUAAAAAGUCAAAACGCUGUGAAAUUUGGACAAUAGUGAUUAUCAAUCAGUUAAAAAAAAAAUAAGAAGAAACCCUGCCGGGAAGAAUUCAGAUUUUUGUGUUUCAGGCUUUGAUCGAGUGGAUGAACUUCAGAAAUCCACCUUCCAAAGAGACGAUUGACACCAGUCCUCUCCCUCUUUCAGAAGAUUUUCCUUUAUUUAUAUUUAAAGCUUCACACACGGUAUUUUAUUCACGGUUCACCUGUUCAGGAUAGAGAUAUAAGCACUUAUAGAAGUAGCUGAACUCACUUAUUAUGUCUUAACAGCAGCAGCAGCAGCAACGGUCUCAGUAAUAUAAGUUAGCACACAUGAUUAUUUUCAAUAUCAUACGAAUCAUUUAUAACAUCAGUAUACUCACGAAUAAAAAGUAUUUCUCCUUCUUCUUUGUUUUUAGUAUCCAAAUCCAGAAGGCCAUUAUGACUUUUAUUAUCUUUUUGUGUCAUUUUAUUUAAGUUUUAAUGUGUUUUUUUUAUCUUUAUCUUGCUUUUUACAUUAUUUUUUUGGAUCUUCAGACAUUCCUCUUUAAAAGCACGUGGUGCUUUCACUGCUUAAAGCUGUAGUUGUUCUUAUUUCUUUUUAAUGUAAAGAAUAUGUGAAAAGCCGUCACCUUCCUAUUAUCCUCUUGUCUUCUUAUUUGUCUCUAUGCACAUUCCUAAAGCGUUCCUUCCUGCAGUAAAAUCAGGAGGGUUCAGGAUUGGAAGCAGCUUUGAAAGUGUCCAGGAAAGCCUGGCAGCAACAGAAAGACGUGUUUAUUCACGCGCAGCACCAGCUUUGAUACGAACACGAUCGGUUCAUCAGGGCAUUAAAUUGAUCAAUGUUUCUGCUGCGACAAUCACAUUCCACAGCUCCUGAAAACGAGCAGGAGAGCUCGACCAAAAUCUGUAUCAAAGUGACAAAUGUGACGUUUGAGUUUUUAAUCAUUUCAUAAUGCUGUUUUUUUUUCUACAACCUUGUGUCCAUGUAAUUUUUUAAAAAUUCUUUUACGUUUGUUUAACCUAACACGUGUUUGUGUAGUGCUAAGCCUCCAAACAUGUUACCUGUAGUCUCUGCCAGUUUCAUAUGACUUUCCAACUGGAUGAAUGUUUUGAAUAUUUUACUUUUGACUCAUCAGCAGCAAUAAAGACAAUAAAGACAUUGAAGUAUUUCA